GGGCAAGUAGAUCAGCCCGGUUAGAUCGCUUCGUUCGCAACGAAGAGGCCGCGAGUCCGAAUCUCGCCUUGUCCACCA
rnacentral:tRNA from 1 species